UCUCACCUGCUGGGUGGGCGAGAGGUUGAGAUCUGGGGGUUAGGGGCAGGUGGGCUGAUGGGUACUCCCUGCUCCCAUAGGACCAGCUCCAAGGAGAGUGAAGGCGUUGAGCAUCCUGGAGGGUUAGCUGUCAUCUUUCGAGUUAUGAGAGUCUGACCUGCGCGGUGCCCACCCUACAGUUCUCCAUUCCCAACUGCUCAUCUUAAUCUCUAAAGAGAAAUGAGUUUUCAA